rnacentral:rRNA from 1 species
GAUGAACGCUAGCGGCAGGCUUAAUACAUGCAAGUCGAGGGGCAGCAUGUCCCGACGCAAGUCGGGAUGAUGGCGACCGGCAAACGGGUGCGGAACACGUACAGAACCUUCUUUAAGUGGGAAUAGCCCAGAGAAAUUUGGAUUAAUACCCCGUAACAUUAUGAAAUGGCAUCAUUUUAUAAUUAUAGAUUUAUCGCUUAGAGAUGGCUGUGCGGCUGAUUAGGAGUUGGGCGGGGUAACGGCCCACCAAGCCUGCGAUCAGUAACUGGUGUGAGAGCACGACCAGUCACACGGGCACUGAGACACGGGCCCGACUCCUACGGGAGGCAGCAGUAAGGAAUAUUGGUCAAUGGACGAAAGUCUGAACCAGCCAUGCC